GGAGUGCGUGUGUUCUCAUGAAAUUAAAUUGAAGCAGAUCGGAAAUGGAAGCUCUCACAAUAAGUAGAGCCAGGCCGUAUAUGUAAAUACAGCUGAUCGUUCAAGUUGGGCGUCAGUUCAAGCCGCAAGGUGGCCCGGUAAAGGAUGGAGUGUUAUUGUAUGCUUGUGAAUUCGUAUAUAAAUAUGAGCAUCAGAUCAGGAAUGCGCGCUCUUGACCUGUGCAAUCGGUUCUAUACAAUGGAAGGAAGAAGAGGUGGCAGUAUAAACAUCGUUAUAAAAGUAGGAUGCCAGUUUCAGCUGUAAGGCGGCCCUCGCAGGAAAUAUAUGUGUUACGCAUUCCAAGAAACAAGAAGUACCAAAGACAAAUUUCCAUUGUCCAGGGACAAGUUCUUUUCUAGGGCCAAUCGUUAUGUCAAGAGAUUUUCAACCAACACCAAAAAAAAUGGAUAAGAAAUAACCGCCAUCUAAAAGCUAACACAAAGAACAGCCAAAAGCCAAACGGAAAAUCGCAAAAAAACAACAUUAAAUUCCUUAAAAUGUAAAAGAAAAAAAGAAAAAAUUCAGUGAAAUGUCAGCAUGUCAAACGUGGCAAUGAGCAAAAGUAGACGCAGAAAAGAAGAAAACAAUAAAUUAAAAUCGAAUAAAAUGUGAAAAAAUGUUUCAAGUCGGCAGAAGUGGGACUACGAUAGCUGCGUGUUCUGGGCCCAGAUUCAAUUGUUGCUACUGCUGAUGUUAAUGCUGCUGCUGCUGCUGCUGAAGUUGCUGCUUGAGGCACGGUCAAUGGCCUGUUGCUGGUAAGCUCAGGCAAUAGCGUGGCAAACACACUUGCACACGCACUUGCGGCGAUUGUCGAUUGCGUAUACGGCAUGUAAGCCGCAUGGCUCAGAAGCGACAGCAGUUCAACAGUUUGUUGCCAGCCGCCAGUUUCUAUGGCAUUUGAUAAUUCUUAUUCAACUGCAUUACAUUUCUAUUCGUUUAAUUUAAAUGACAACAAAAAAUAUGCAAAAUAUUACAUAUGGGCUACAGGUGAAAGUAAAGGCGUCUAAUAUCACAAACAUAUACUGAAGCAACUCAUGCGCUGUAGCAUUCGUUGUUUAUUUGUUGGCAGCCGCUGGCUAACUGGCAACUGGCAACUGGCUGAAGCCAGCACAGACACCCACCAUGUGGAAGGCACUUUCCAGGAACAUGUUGGCAUUUGGCACGCUGGAAUGGAACGCAACAACAGUAGAAAUAACAAAGUAAAUGCUCCCAAUUGCAUAAUACAAGCAUAAUCUUGUUUGAACUGCCUCAAAUUGGUAAUAAGCAUUUGCAAAAUAUUUAAAGGCAGCUCAAAAUUAAAUUAAAAUAUAAGAAAAAAAUAAAAUAAAAUCCUUUAAAAUAGUCAA